CGGUUGUGUGCUUUGCUCCUGCAGCAUCGGAUAUCGCACGCUCACAACACUUCGGCUACCAAGCUCAAUUUUACACAAGAUUACCUAGUUCGUUUUGAUUGCGUGCGAUGAAUAGGGAGAGAGAAUUACUCCUCAUGAAGGAUAUGCUUCUUCUUCUGAAGAGGAAAAAAGAGUCGAAACGCAAAGAGAAGCGGUGGUGGGUUCGGCCGCUCUGGCAGGAUCGGAGAACUGAAAGCGAGUACUGGACUGCGAUGAAGAAGAUGAGAGACCAUGGUGAUUCCAAUUACUUUGUGAUGUACUUCCGCAUGAUGCCAGAGACUUUCGAUCGGCUGCACAGUCUGGUAGAAGAAGAUUUGAAGAAGCAGCACGUA